rnacentral:sRNA from 1 species
UAAUGUCAGUAAUAGGCACUGCUUCCGGU